rnacentral:snoRNA from 1 species
CCCCUCUCAGGGUCACACCUGGAGAGUUUCCAGUCCUCUACCAGUCUCGACUAUGGGAGAGAGAGUCAAACAGAGGCAGACCCAUUCCAUUCCUAGCUUGGGCACCAGCUAGCGAGUGGAAGGCAAUCUGCUACAAGU